UCCCUGAAUCUGUAGGUGUGCGUUUUCACACUUCUGUGCCUUUUGCCCGAUGGGAGAGGGGAGAAGGAGAGGCCAGGGCGCGACACGUCCUUGAUUAUGCUGCUGGCCUUGCCGAGGCAACGAGCCUAAAGGAACAGCUGGAAUUGUGCGCAGAAUGCAACAGUCUGAAGAAGGUCUGAAGAAGGGUCCUAGUUCACGAGUCGUAGGAGUAGAAUUAGGCUGUUCGGCCCAUCGAGUCUACCCCGUCAUUCAAUCACGGCUGAUCAAUCAGGUCCUGAGAUGUCGCCUAUCAAUGCUGCCUGAACCGCUGAGCUACUCCAGCACUUUGUAUUCGACCGCUGUUUGUUGCAGCUCUGGGCUGUGGAAUAGUUCUCGAGGACAUUCUCUGAGGAUGGAGCAAUAUGUGAUUGCAAGGGUAUCCGGAAAAGGGUUAUUUAGCCAACUAAUUAACCCAUGCUGUAUUUUGUAUCUUUCGAUUUGCGUUCAACAAUAAACUUGAUGUUCGGCUGCU